UACGUAGGGGGCAAGCGUUGUCCGGAAUCAUUGGGCGUAAAGAGCGUGUAGGCGGCCCGAUAAGUCCGCCGUGAAAGCCCAGGGCUCAACCCUGGGAUGCCGGUGGAUACUGUCGGGCUAGAGUUCGGAAGAGGCAAGUGGAAUUCCUGGUGUAGCGGUGAAAUGCGCAGAUAUCAGGAGGAACACCUAUGGCGAAGGCAGCUUGCUGGGACGACACUGACGCUGAGACGCGAAAGCGUGGGGAGCAAACGGG
rnacentral:rRNA from 1 species